UACAGAGGGUGCAAGCGUUAAUCGGAAUUACUGGGCGUAAAGCGCGUGUAGGCGGUUGUCCAAGUUGGAUGUGAAAGCCUUGAGCUUAACUCAAGAAAUGCAUUCAGGACUGGAUGGCUAGAGGACCGGAGAGGAUAGUGGAAUUCCCAGUGUAGUGGUGAAAUACGUAGAGAUUGGGAAGAACACCAGUGGCGAAGGCGGCUAUCUGGACGGUUUCUGACGCUAAGACGCGAAAGCGUGGGGAGCAAACAGG
rnacentral:rRNA from 1 species